ensembl:misc_RNA 7SK 7SK RNA
GAUGAUCGGGCUGUGGCAUCUGUCAUCUUCAGGAUUGCCAGGGUUGAUUUGGCUGGUAGGACCGCCGUGGCAGCUGUCUCCUUCCCUC